CUACACAUGCAAGUCGAACGGCAGCACAGUAAGAGCUUGCUCUUACGGGUGGCGAGUGGCGGACGGGUGAGGAAUGCAUCGGAAUCUACUCUGUCGUGGGGGAUAACGUAGGGAAACUUACGCUAAUACCGCAUACGACCUACGGGUGAAAGCAGGGGAUCUUCGGACCUUGCGCGAUUGAAUGAGCCGAUGCCCGAUUAGCUAGUUGGCGGGGUAAGAGCCCACCAAGGCGACGAUGGGUAGCUGGUCUGAGAGGAUGAUCAGCCACA
rnacentral:rRNA from 1 species